AACGACUCUCGGUAACGGAUAUCUCGGCUCUCGCAUCGAUGAAGAACGUAGCGAAAUGCGAUACUUGGUGUGAAUUGCAGAAUCCCGUGAACCAUCGAGUCUUUGAACGCAAGUUGCGCCCCAAGCCUUCUGGCCGAGGGCACGUCUGCCUGGGUGUCACGCA
rnacentral:rRNA from 1 species